AACUAGAAGACAAACAGCGAGAACAAUAAUUGCUUGAAAUCGGUAUGUUAGCGAGGAUUUGUGUGUCUACCUUUUCAACGUUCUUUUUUUCAUCUCUCAUAAUUAUAUCUCGAAUCUAUGUGGCUAUAUCAGAACGUGUUGUUUGCAGUGUGGUCACUGACCAAAGAAAAAGCCAAUGUGAGUGUGAAUUUUGAGGUUUACUUCGCCGCUUUUUCGUAUUUUCUAUUAUUUGAUCAUUUUGAUCAUUUGAUGCCUGUGAUUGUGAUGAAACGAUGAGCUACAGGUGCUAUGGGGUGGUUUUUGGCAAACAAAAACCGGGCCAAAACUGUUUUAAUUUAAUUUUGCGAAUUGUAGUCCAUCUGUUCGGAAAUCACUUCGUAAGACAAGUGAACAUUUAGCGAAUUUCCUAAUUGAUUCGGGGAUUUACGCUGAGCAGCCCACGUGAAAUGUGAAACCGUAGAACGACUUUAGUUGAUCGGAUUGUCUGACCCGGUGGAAACGAGAAGAUCACCGAAACGUAAAAUCAGCAAAACGAACAGAAGCAUUCAAAACGUCGCCUGAGGAAACCCCGGAGGUGGAAGUGUGUCUUCAUACAACAGAGGCAGCGACAGUGAAAGGCAUUUAUUUUUAAACACCAAAAAAAGCAUUUGAGGAAUUAGGUUCUGGCAGUUUUCGGGAAAGAGCUGCACUGUUUUGCCAAACACGGCCAGAACAAGGUUUGACGGUGGAAAUUUUCUAUUCCAAACGGAUACACGUGCUUCGGUUGUCAACGAUGCUGCUCACGAAUAAACUACACGGAGGAGUUUAGGGAAUUGAUUUAUGAUGCUCACGGCAUGACGAGGUGUGGAAACGGAACUAACAACACGCAUUUCAGCUGCGGAAGAAACAUGCAGUAAACUUGAUGCAGCGGAGAUAUCACAGGAAAAAUAUAAUGUGUCUAUUUGAUUAAUUUCUGA